UACGGGGGGGGCAAGUGUUCUUCGGAAUGACUGGGCGUAAAGGGCACGUAGGCGGUGAAUCGGGUUGAAAGUGAAAGUCGCCAAAAAGUGGCGGAAUGCUCUCGAAACCAAUUCACUUGAGUGAGACAGAGGAGAGUGGAAUUUCGUGUGUAGGGGUGAAAUCCGUUGAUCUAUAGAGUACCACCAAAAGGCGAAGGCAAUUGACUAUUCCAUUUCUGACGUUGAGGCAUGAAAGCGUGGGGAGCAAACCGG
rnacentral:rRNA from 1 species